rnacentral:rRNA from 1 species
GAUGAACGCUGGCGGCGUGCCUAACACAUGCAAGUCGAACGAUGAAACCGCCCUCGGGCGGACAUGAAGUGGCGAACGGGUGAGUAACACGUGACCAACCUGCCCCUUGCUCCGGGACAACCUUGGGAAACCGAGGCUAAUACCGGAUACUCCUCGCCCCCCUCCUGGGGGGCCCGGGAAAGCCCAGACGGCAAGGGAUGGGGUCGCGGCCCAUUAGGUAGUAGGCGGGGUAACGGCCCACCUAGCCCGCGAUGGGUAGCCGGGUUGAGAGACCGACCGGCCACAUUGGGACUGAGAUACGGCCCAGACUCCUACGGGAGGCAGCAGUGGGGAAUUUUGCGCAAUGGGGGCAACCCUGACGCAGCAACGCCGCGUGCGGGACGACGGCCUUCGGGUUGUAAACCGCUUUCAGCAGGGAAGAAAUUCGA